UACGGGGGGGGCAAGCGUUGUUCGGAAUUACUGGGCGUAAAGGGCUCGUAGGUGGCCAACUAAGUCAGACGUGAAAUCCCUCGGCUUAACCGGGGAACUGCGUCUGAUACUGGAUGGCUUGAGUUUGGGAGAGGGACGCGGAAUUCCAGGUGUAGCGGUGAAAUGCGUAGAUAUCUGGAGGAACACCGGUGGCGAAGGCAGCCCCAUGGGCUAACACUGACGCUCAUGCACGAAAGCGUGGGGAGCAAACAGG
rnacentral:rRNA from 1 species